UACGGAGGGGGCUAGCGUUGUUCGGAAUUACUGGGCGUAAAGCGCACGUAGGCGGACUGUUAAGUCGGGGGUGAAAUCCUGGGGCUCAACCUCAGAAUUGCCUCCGAUACUGGCAGUCUCGAGUGCGGGAGAGGUGAGUGGAAUUCCCAGUGUAGAGGUGAAAUUCGUAGAUAUUGGGAAGAACACCAGUGGCGAAGGCGGCUCACUGGCCCGUAACUGACGCUGAGGUGCGAAAAGCGUGGGGAGCAAACAGG
rnacentral:rRNA from 1 species